UACGUAGGGACCAAGCGUUGUUCGGAUUUACUGGGCGUAAAGGGCGCGUAGGCGGCGUGUUAAGUCAGUUGUGAAAUCUCUGAGCUUAACUCAGAACGGUCAAGUGAUACUGAUGUGCUAGAGUGCAGAAGGGGCAACCGGAAUUCUUGGUGUAGCGGUGAAAUGCGUAGAUAUCAAGAGGAACACCAGUGGCGAAGGCGGCGAUCUGGGUGGAUACUGACGCUGAGGUGCGAAAGCGUGGGGAGCAAACAGG
rnacentral:rRNA from 1 species